UACGUAGGGCGCAAGCGUUGUCCGGAAUUAUUGGGCGUAAAGAGCUCGUAGGCGGCUUGUCACGUCGGGUGUGAAAGCCCGGGGCUUAACCCCGGGUCUGCAUUCGAUACGGGCUGGCUAGAGUGUGGUAGGGGAGAUCGGAAUUCCAGGUGUAGCGGUGAAAUGCGUAGAUAUCUGGAGGAACACCGGUGGCGAAGGCGGCAUCCUGGACCAACACUGACGCUGAGGAGCGAAAGCCAGGGGAGCAAACGGG
rnacentral:rRNA from 1 species